UGUGGGCUUUCUCGAGCAGUUGUUGUUGAACAGCCGUGUCAGGAGGCGGACGAUUAUUCUCACGUCUCUCAUUAUCAAGAUUUUUUUAUCUAUGGAGAUGACGUGUUAUAUUUCACCACCAAUUAAAUAAUGUUGACCUUCAAAAUGAUCGAAGCUUGAAGCCACAGAACUCUGGUGAUCGUAUCUUGAAGUUCCAAGAGAUUUGCAGAUGCUAUGAAAGUAUCAUUUAUGAUUUUGUUUCUCCUGAAGAUCUGUAGCACACUAUGUAUUAACCUUCAAGGUUAAUUUGGCUGCUUAAUAUUGUUCAUAAUUGUGAUAUAUGCAAGGUCAAGUUGGCAACACAAGAUAUCGUGGAACAGGAUCGAGCAUCUGAUGGUGACAAGAAAACCACUGCUGGAUAGUUCUAGACAGAUUUUAGAUCAGUUUUUGAGUAUCUAAAAGUUCUGCGUUUUUGAAUGUCUAAAGUUCCGCAGUUUUUGAGUUUCUAAAGUUCUGCUCCAGUGGACAAGUAAAUCAACGUAUUAGACACAGUUAUUCCAAGACACUGUCUAUGCUGACUUCAUCGUUACGAAGGAAAUAAUGUUUGUUUGUAUUGAAUGUAAAAAUGAGGAAAUAGAGAACAAAAUAGCCGGACGCCCUUUUAUUUAAAUCCAUGAAAUUACAUUUUCAUAUUUGGGGAUGGUUCCUCUAAAUGAUCAAUGAAAACAAAAAUAAUUUUUUUUGCCCUUUGCAGCCUGCACUGCAAUGCCCUGAGGAAGGGAGGAGUUGCCCCCAGCAAGAGGUAGCAAAACAGGUCAAUCAUAGGCUUCGAAAUUGACCCAGAGAGCUGAUUUCUGAGUUGACAGCUGAUUUGCCCAGAUGAGAAAAGCCUUACAGUUCCCUUAGUUGCUCUGUCAGAUGUAUCCCCAGUUUCUCUUUUCAGUUCUGAAGGCUGCCAGUCGGUUUCAAAUGUCUGGUUAUUAUUUACAGGAUGGGGCAGAGUUACCCCCGAGACGAACCUAGGCUUAGGUUUACUCUUAUGACUGAUUUCGUACAUAAAUGCUUGGUCAGCUAGGAGUGUCUGGCAAAACAUGGCGUGAAGAACCCGUAGAGUUUUACCAAAUUUCGUUCCAAUGAUUCACAUUAGCCAUACGAAUCCUUCAUACAGUUUUUUCUUAAUAGCCUGUGAGAAAAUCUACGGGUUUGAAACAGACAAUUCGACCAUGUGCUUUCUGUUUUCCUUGAUUUAGAAGAUACUGAACACACACACACACUCUCUCUCUCUCUCUCUCUCUCUCUCUCUCUCUCUCACACACACACACACAGAGCCUAGUCAAAAAAGGGUCUCUCUCUCACAGCCUAGUCAAAGAAAAGGCUCUCUCUCUCACACACAGCCUAGUCAAAAAAGGCUCUCUCUCUAACAACCUAGUCAAAGAAAAGGCUCUCUCUCUCUCUCUCACAUAAACACAAAGCCUAGUCAAAAGAAGCCCCUCUCUCAGCCUGGUC